UACGGAAGGCAGCAGUGGGGAAUAUUGCACAAUGGGCGCAAGCCUGAUGCAGCCAUGCCGCGUGUAUGAAGAAGGCCUUCGGGUUGUAAAGUACUUUCAGUCGUGAGGAAGGUGUUAAGGUUAAUAACCUUAGCAAUUGACGUUAGCGACAGAAGAAGCACCGGCUAACUCCGUGCCAGCAGCCGCGGUAAUACGGAGGGUGCGAGCGUUAAUCGGAAUUACUGGGCGUAAAGGGCACGCAGGCGGUUAAUUAAGUUGGAUGUGAGAUCCCCGGGCUUAACCUGGGAAUGGCAUUCAAGACUGGUUAGCUAGAGUCUUGUAGAGGGGGUAGAAUUCCAUGUGUAGCGGUGAAAUGCGUAGAGAUGUGGAGGAAUACCGGUGGCGAAGGCGGCCCCUGGACAAAGACUGACGCUCAUGUGCGAAAGCGUGGGGAGCAAACAGGAUUAGAUACC
rnacentral:rRNA from 1 species